GCAAUAUCCGUAUGAAACAAAGAAGAGAGUGAGAGUGAGAGACCAGAAAAACAUGAAGAAAAAGGGAGUCACGUUAUGUUGAAAUUAGUUGAUAUUAUUGACAGACCACAUGAUUCCCCAGAAGACCAGCCCACAAAUUCACCGAAAAGCGUUGCUGAAAUGCCCUCGGAAUUAAAACAUUAGCAAAAAUACUAACUUUUCGUACUAAAUGCAAACAUCGCAACACUCUUCUGGAUUUUUUAAUGAAAAAACAGCCAAGGGGUUAUAGUAAGCUCAUGUGAGUGGAAGAAAACAACAAUAAAUUGUUGUUGAAAUUUUGAGAAGGAUAAUACACUAGUUUUCAAGCUCUAAAAUUCAUUUAUCGGUUUGUUAAUCU